UACGGAGGGUGCAAGCGUUGUCCGGAAUCACUGGGCGUAAAGCGCGCGUAGGCGGGUUUGAAAGUCGGGCGUAAAAGUCCACAACUCAAUUGUGGAAGGCCGCCCGAUACUUCAAACCUUGAGGAUGGGAGAGGAGAGCGGAAUUCCCGGUGUAGCGGUGAAAUGCUUUGAGAUCGGGAGGAACGCCAGUGGCGAAGGCGGCUCUCUGGAACAUUCCUGACGCUGAGGCGCGAAAGCGUGGGGAGCGAACCGG
rnacentral:rRNA from 1 species